UACGGGGGGGGCAAGCGUUGUUCGGAAUUACUGGGCGUAAAGGGCUCGUAGGCGGUCAACUAAGUCAGACGUGAAAUCCCUCGGCUUAACCGGGGAACUGCGUCUGAUACUGGAUGGCUUGAAUCCGGGAGAGGGAUGCGGAAUUCCAGGUGUAGCGGUGAAAUGCGUAGAUAUCUGGAGGAACACCGGUGGCGAAGGCGGCAUCCUGGACCGGCAUUGACGCUGAGGAGCGAAAGCGUGGGGAGCAAACGGG
rnacentral:rRNA from 1 species